GCCCGUUAUUUCUUUAUCACCUGAAACACAGAAACCUCCUGACAGAUCCAACUGAGUGAGCAGAAGGAGAGGGCUGGGACCCAUACCAUUUAAAUAAAGAUUUCAGCUAAAUCACAUUAAUUUGAUCAACUCUUCUAAAGUCUCCGGGACCACGACCUGACUCGCUGAGGAGCUUUUCAUCACAUGGGAGUCGGCUCGUCCCGGGGCACCGGUCAUCUAUAAAGAGGGCCGGGACCCCUGCCAGUUAAAUAAUGAUUUCAGCUAAAUCACUUUAGUUUGAUCGACUGUUCCACAGAGGGUCAAGAUCACGACCAGACUCGCUGAGGAGGAGAUGAGGAGGUUUUGAGUUCUGGCCCCAGGGAAGUGGAUGGUAAUUCUGAAACAGCAGAACACCUAACACUUCACCUCAUCAUGCACAGGGUCAUCAUGCAACAGGGGGCCUUUGGAAUGACCCAGCUGGAUUAAUGUUGUUGUUGUUGUUGUUAUUAUUAUUAUUAUUAUUAUUAUUUUGCAGUUAUCUUUUACUAUAAUUACAAGUUUUUUUUCUAUAAUUAAAAAAGUGUUAUUUUAAUUAUUUAUAAUUUUUAUAUCAUUUAAUAUGUUCAUAUUGUUCUUUUUCUGUAUACAGUAAAUUGUUCUUUUUGUUCUUAUCAUUUUUUUCCUUUUAUUAUAAGUUGUUCUUUUAAGGGCACAAGCACUAUAGGGUGUGCAGGACCCUCUUGUUUCAUUUUGUUCUUAUUAUUAAUAAUUUUAUAGUUAUAAAUUAGUUAAUAAAAAACAUUUAUAAACACUUUAUUCCUGUUAGUGUUGUACUUGUAUUUGGUGUCCUUUUUACCAGUU